rnacentral:rRNA from 1 species
AUACGGAAGGUCCGGGCGUUAUCCGGAUUUAUUGGGUUUAAAGGGAGCGCAGGCGGAGAUGCAAGCGUGACGUCAAAUUUCGGGGCUCAACCCCGUCUCGCGUCGCGAACUGCGUCCCUUGGUUGCGGGAAGGGGAGGCGGAACUCGUGGUGUAGCGGUGAAAUGCUUAGAUAUCACGAAGAACUCCGAUCGCGAAGGCAGCCUUCCGGCCCGUCAACGACGCUCAUGCUCGAAGGUGCGGGUAUCAAACAGGAUUAGAUACCCUGGUAGUCGGCACAGUAAACGAUGGAAACCCGCGGUUUGGCCUGUAUGGCUGAGCCGCCAAGCGAAAGCGUUAAGUGUCCCACCUGGGGAGUACGCCGGCAACGGUGAAACUCAAAUGAAUUGACGGGG